UGGACAAAUUAUUGUAUUCGACUGUAUUCACGGCGUGAAACAGGGAGUUACACUGUUUUUUAAACGGAAGGUGAAUCAAUUAACAUAAUGGACUCCU
rnacentral:pre_miRNA from 1 species